CUAUGGCGGCGGCAGCUGUCACUGGGCCUAGCCCGGGCUGUGGACCUGGGGACUUCCCAGAAGGGCCCGAGUGGGAGGCUCACGGAGUGUCGGUGGAAGGCGCACAGGAUGCUAAAGCUUUACAGUGGCCUCUCGGAAGGGGAGGCGGUGGGACACCUCGCGGGUCCAGACCCCCUGGACCCCACUGAUCUGAACGGGGCGCAGUUCAACCCAGAAGUUUACCUAGACAAGCUGCCUAGAGAGUGCCCUCUGGCCCAGCUGAUGGACAGUGAGACGGACAUGGUGCAGCAGAUCUGGGCUCUAGACAGCGAUGCAAACCCUGGUCUAUGAGAACUAUGAUAAGUUUAUCCCAGCC
rnacentral:lncRNA from 1 species